rnacentral:rRNA from 1 species
GACGAACGCUGGCGGCGGGCUUAACACAUGCAAGUCGAACGGAAAGGCCCUGCUUUUGUGGGGUGCUCGAGUGGCGAACGGGUGAGUAACACGUGAGUAACCUGCCCUUGACUUUGGGAUAACUUCAGGAAACUGGGGCUAAUACCGGAUAGGAGCUCCUGCUGCAUGGUGGGGGUUGGAAAGUUUCGGCGGUUGGGGAUGGACUCGCGGCUUAUCAGCUUGUUGGUGGGGUAGUGGCUUACCAAGGCUUUGACGGGUAGCCGGCCUGAGAGGGUGAACGGCCACCUUGGGACUGAGAUACGGCCCAGACUCCUACGGUAGGCAGCAGUGGGGAAUAUUGCACAAUGGGCGGACGCCUGAUGCAGCAACGCCGCGUGCGGGAUGACGGCCUUCGGGUUGUAAACCGCUUUAGCCUGUGACGAAGCGUGAGUGACGGUAAUGGGUAAAGAAGCACCGGCUAACUACGUG